rnacentral:rRNA from 1 species
GAAUAUUGGACAAUGGCUGAAAAGCUGAUCCAGCCAUCCCGCGUGAAGGCAGAAGGUCCUAUGGAUUGUAAACUUCUUUUCUCUGGGAAGAAAAGGCGGGUUUCUACCUGCUCUGACGGUACCAGAGGAAUAAGCACCGGCUAACUCCGUGCCAGCAGCCGCGGUAAUACGGAGGGUGCAAGCGUUAUCCGGAUUCACUGGGUUUAAAGGGUGCGUAGGCGGGCUUGUAAGUCAGUGGUGAAAGCCCGGGGCUCAACUCCGGAACUGCCGUUGAUACUGCAAGUCUUGAGUACAGUUGAGGUGGGCGGAAUACAUCAUGUAGAGGUGAAAUUCUUAGAUAUGAUGUAGAACACCGAUUGCGAAGGCAGCUCACUAAAGUGUAACUGGCGCUGAGGCACGAAAGCGUGGGGAUCAAACAGG